UUAAGGAGCCUUUACACAGCAAUUCUGAAGACGCCUUGCCUUCUUCUGCUGUAGGAGGAUAGCAGUGUGUUCUUAGAGGUUUUUAUUGUUGUAUUGACACACACUAUGGCUGUGUCUUAAUUCUGGGUUUGGAUAUUCAUGUAAGGUAACACCUGCUAGAGUUUCAAAACCUCUCAAACAACUGAAGUGGACACUUAAUAUAUCAUCAGUUGGGGAAUGUACUUCAGAGUCCCUGUGCCUGCUGAUUACUGGUGGCAAGGGUGGCACUGUCCCCAAAGCAGGGCAGGCUCUAAAGUGUACACAGCUCUUACCAAGCUCAGGUGGAUUCCUGCCAUGGAAUUUCAUGUGGGGCACAGCAGCUUUCAUGACUACAUAAGAGCCUCCAUCUGAAAAUACCUUGCUCCUUUUCCAAGGAAGUUAUGUAAAUUCAUUUUGACAGUGUAAGGCUUCAAAUCUGAAGGCUGCUGGAUUCCCUGGUGUUUCUCCUCAGCGUAGUGUAUAGAGCAAUACAGAAACAGAGGGUCAACGUGUUCAGUUUCUUUGUGCUGCACUGCAAGUGAGUCACAGCUGUAAGGUUAAUGGCUGAUUAAGUGGGAAAAAAAGGGUAUUUUGCUACAGGUGGACAGGCAGUUGUGCACUUGUGUUCAAUGUCACACCACCAACACACCAUGAAAGGAAAGACUGGUGACAGUUUUGUCCAGUGCUACAGCACUUUCUUCUAAUUUGCUUAAACAGAAUAAGACACAGGUAAUGGGCAUUCCACAUUGGAAUAAUAAUGGCUAAAAUGUACAAAGUAAAACAGUUGUUCCUGUGUACUGAAAGAGCUUAAAACCAAGACACAAAUGCAUCCAAACUGUAAUAUUACCUUUAAAUUCCCAUAGAAGAAAUAUUUUAAGGUUCAAAAUGAAGACACCCCCACCCCCCCAGCAGAUUUUUGUUUCAGUUUCUGAAGAGAAAAAUACUGAGGCCUUCAUGAAGUGUAAAAUAAUUUUAGAAUAUUCAUGACCUUUGGAAAAGGUCAGAGACAGGGAAAAUGAUGCCAGCAGUUUAAUCUGAUGUAUAUUAAGAAAGAUGGGCAUCCAAUCAAGGAAGUGUUCUGGUCUCCAAAAAUAUUAAGUAUGUUCAAUUACGCAGGGGGAAGGAAGCUUUAGAGCUAGAUGUCAAUUAAAAGAAUAGUUAAAUUUUCCUCUUAGUUUUAAAACUGAAGCUACUUCCCCAGGCAACUUAUUUCCUCUCAGUUCAAUUGAUUUGUUUUUGAGAUGGUAGAAUUCUUACUUAUACAGAUUUAGAUGCUCCAUUUUUAUUACUAAAUUAGUAGUCAGUGUCCAGGCUAUCAGUCAAGAUGCGAAAUCUGUGGGUCUGGUGUGUUUUCAUUCCUCAAAUUAUUCUUUCAACCAUGUUAAUGGAGCCUUUCCUCCUUUUUUCUUGUCAAAUUAAGGACCGCAUAAAAUUUACCAGAGCAUUUGCUCAUGUAUUGAAUAUCAUGCAGUAUUACAUAAAUUUCUCUGUAUAAACAUGCGUGUUGGUGGAAAUAUACAUCACCUCUUUAAAUAUUUUUUUUCUUAUAAGGCUUUAUGAUAGCUAAACUACGACACAGCAGAUGCUAAGUACAAAAGGCCAUUGUGUGCAAAUAGAUAAAGGGAACAAAAAAUAGUCAGAGGGAGUUUGAUGUUCAGCUAGACCUGAUUUUUUAAAUUUAAUUUUUACCCCGAUGUCCACCUGUGGCUGGGCAGGAAUCCAACUGAUCCAAAGCACUUUCAUGAUGAUUUUUUUCCCCGGCAUGUGGUAACUAAAAUUCAGGAUAUUUGUUUCAUUCCUUCGAAACGACACCGACACAGAACUUUUCUAACACUUUGCUGGAAAACUAGGAGCUUUUAAUAUUUAACUUCUAUUGUUUAUACAUCUUCUAACAUAAAAAAGAGGCAGACAGAAAAGAGGUUGUUACGCUCCAGUGGUUUAAUUAUUAUCAUUAGCAGCACAAUUUUAAAAUAUGUCUAUAAAUAGGGUUUUUUUUUCCAUUUUCUUCCUUUUCCUUCUGCUUGCCUCACAUGCCUCCAUACUUAUUUUUAAUUCCUUAAUCAGAUACGAUUACAAAUCCCUUUUCUAGCUACACCACCACUUCAGUUUAGAGUGCAACAAUGAGUAUGACGUCAAUGAAAAUCCCAAAAAUCCCCAAGAAAGCUAUUCAGCUUUCUAGAAGGUCAAUGUAUAUUGUGCAGAUGUAUAAUGUAUAUUUAUGAUGUAUAUUGUAGUUUUGUGACAGAGCACUGGUGUGAUGUUAGCAACUUGUUAAAGUCGAACU